rnacentral:rRNA from 1 species
UCCUACGGGAGGCAGCAGUGAGGAAUAUUGGACAAUGGGGGCAACCCUGAUCCAGCCAUGCCGCGUGCAGGAAGACGGCCUUAUGGGUUGUAAACUGCUUUUGUACGGGAAGAACCGCCCCCACGUGUGGGGGUUUGACGGUACCGUAAGAAUAAGGAUCGGCUAACUCCGUGCCAGCAGCCGCGGUAAUACGGAGGAUCCGAGCGUUAUCCGGAAUCAUUGGGUUUAAAGGGUCCGUAGGCGGGACGGUAAGUCAGUGGUGAAAGUCGAUAGCUUAACUAUCGAAUUGCCAUUGAAACUGUCGUCCUUGAGUUAUUGUGAAGUGGUUGGAACAUGUAGUGUAGCGGUGAAAUGCAUAGAUAUUACAUAGAACACCGAUUGCGAAGGCAGGCCACUAACAAUAUACUGACGCUGAUGGACGAAAGCGUGGGUAGCGAACAGGAUUAGAUACCCUGGUAGUCCACGCCGUAAACGAUGGUCACUAGCUGUCCGCCCCCAAUACGUUGGGGGUGGGUGGUCAAGCGAAAGUGAUAAGUGACCCACCUGGGGAGUACGUUCGCAAGAAUGAAACUCAAAUGAAUUGACGGGG